rnacentral:rRNA from 1 species
UACGAAGGGGGCUAGCGUUGCUCGGAAUCACUGGGCGUAAAGGGUGCGUAGGCGGGUUUUUAAGUCAGAGGUGAAAUCCUGGAGCUCAACUCCAGAACUGCCUUUGAUACUGAAGAUCUUGAGUCCGGAAGAGGUGAGUGGAACUGCGAGUGUAGAGGUGAAAUUCGUAGAUAUUGGGAAGAACACCGGUGGCGAAGGCGGCUCACUGGACCGGCAUUGACGCUGAGGUGCGAAAGCGUGGGGAGCAAACAGG